rnacentral:rRNA from 1 species
UUUACCGUGCAAGGUAGCAUAAUCAAUUGUCUUUUAAUUGAAGGCUAGUAUGAAUGGUUGCAUGAGAUAUUAACUAUUUUUAUUUAAUAAUAAAUAAAUUUUAAUUAUUGGUAAAAAUGCCAAUUUUAUAAAAAAAGACGAGAAGACCCUAUAAAUCUUUAUUUUAUUUAAUUAAUUAAUUAAUUAGAUUAAGUAUUAUUUAUUUUUUAUUUAAAAUUUUAUUGGGGUGAUAAUGAAAUUUAAAAAACUUUUAUUUAUUUUUUUUCAUUAAUAAAUGAUUGAUUGAUCCAUUCUUAAUGAUUAAAAAUUUAAGUUACUUUAGGGAUAACAGCGUAAUUAUUUUAAAGAGUUCUUAUCGAUAAAAUAGAUUGCGACCUCGAUGUUGAAUUAAGAUAAAGCUGUACGCUGUCGAAGGUUA